CCAAUAGCGUAUAUUAAAGUUGUUGCAGUUAAAAAGCUCGUAGUUGAAUUUCGGGAUCAGUACGCUGGUCGUGCCUCCGGUAUGUACUGGUGUCACUGAUUCCUCCCUUCUGAAGAACCAUCAUGCCAUUCACUUGGUGUGGUGGGGAAUCAGGACUGUUACUUUGAAAAAAUUAGAGUGUUUAAAGCAGGCUCGCGCUUGAAUACAUUAGCAUGGAAUAAUGAAAUAGGACGUUUAUCCUAUUUUGUUGGUUUCUAGGAUUGACGUAAUGAUUAAUAGGGAUAGUUGGGGGCAUUAGUAUUCAAUUGUCAGAGGUGAAAUUCUUGGAUUUAUUGAAGACUAACUACUGCGAAAGCAUUUGCCAAGGAUGUUUUCAUUAAUCAAGAACGAAAGUUAGGAGAUCGAAGACGAUCAGAUACCGUCGUAGUCUUAACCAUAAACUAUGCCGACUAGGGAUCGGAUGAUGUUAAUUUUUUAAUGACUCAUUCGGCGCCUUACG
rnacentral:rRNA from 1 species